UCCGGUUUGUCACCGGCAGUCUCCUUAGAGUUCCCGACCGAAUCGCUGGCAACUAAGGACAAGGGUUGCGCUCGUUACGGGACUUAACCCAACAUUUCACAACACGAGCUGACGACAGCCAUGCAGCACCUGUCACUGAGCUCCCGAAGGCACUCCAGUAUCUCUACCGGAUUCUCAGGAUGUCAAGGGUAGGUAAGGUUCUUCGCGUUGCAUCGAAUUAAACCACAUGCUCCACCGCUUGUGCGGGCCCCCGUCAAUUCAUUUGAGUUUUAACCUUGCGGCCGUACUCCCCAGGCGGAGAACUUAUUGCGUUAGCUGCGCCACCAAACCAAAAAGGUCCAACGGCUAGUUCUCAUCGUUUACGGCGUGGACUAC
rnacentral:misc_RNA from 1 species